UUUCCCUACGGGGGGCAGCAGUAGGGAAUCUUCCACAAUGGACGAAAGUCUGAUGGAGCAACGCCGCGUGAGUGAAGAAGGGUUUCGGCUCGUAAAGCUCUGUUGGUAGUGAAGAAAGAUAGAGGUAGUAACUGGCCUUUAUUUGACGGUAAUUACUUAGAAAGUCACGGCUAACUACGUGCCAGCAGCCGCGGGAAUACGGAGGUGGCAAGCGUUGUCCGGGUUUAUUGGGGGUUAA
rnacentral:rRNA from 1 species